rnacentral:rRNA from 1 species
CAGUAGCGUAUAUUAAAGUUGUUGCGGUAAAAAAGCUCGUAGUUGGAUUUCUACCGAAGAUAGCCGGUCGGGUCUUCGACCUUGUAUCUGGUUUUGUCUUUGGUAUCCUCAUAGGGAACGUUUCUGCGCUUUAUUGCGUGGUGCGGUAUCUAUGACUUUUACUUUGAGGAAAUUAGAGUGUUCACGGCAGGCAAACGCCUUGAAUAUAUUAGCAUGGAAUAAUAACAUAGGAUCUUCGUCCUAUUUUGUUGGUUUCUAGGGCUAAGAUAAUGAUUAAUAGGGAUAAUUGGGGGCAUCUGUAUCAACGCGUCAGAGGUGGAAUUCUUGGAUUGCGUUGCGACAAACUACUGCGAAAGCAUUUGCCAAGGAUGUUUUCAUUGA